AUUAAAGUGGCAGAUUAGUGCAAUGGAUUUAAGCUUCAUUUAUGGAAGGGUGUCUUCUCUUUAAUA
rnacentral:tRNA from 1 species